GACGAACGCUGGCGGCGUGCUUAACACAUGCAAGUCGAACGAUGAAGCCCAGCUUGCUGGGUGGAUUAGUGGCGAACGGGUGAGUAACACGUGGGCAACCUGCCCCAAACUCUGGGAUAACUCCUCGAAAGAGGUGCUAAUACCGGAUACGAACUAGACAGACAUCUGUACUAGUUGGAAAGUUUUUCGGUUUGGGAUGGGCCCGCGGCCGAUCAGCUCGUUGGUGAGGUAACGGCUCACCAAGGCUACGACGGGUAACCGGCCUGAGAGGGCGACCGGUCACACUGGGACUGAGACACGGCCCAGACUCCUACGGGAGGCAGCAGUGGUGAAUAUUGCGCAAUGGGCGAAAGCCUGACGCAGCGACGCCGCGUGAGGGAUGAAGGUCUUCGGAUCGUAAACCUCUUUCGGUAGGGACGAAGCGAAAGUGACGGUACCUAAAGAAGAAGCACCGGCUAACUACGUGCCAGCAGCCGCGGUAA
rnacentral:rRNA from 1 species